AACAUACUUCCUUCAUUCCAAAUUACUCGUCGUAGAAAUGGAUGUAUUUAGAACUAAAAUAUAUCUAGAUACAUCCAUACCUGCGACAAAUAAUUUGGAACGGAGGGAGUAUAUC
rnacentral:pre_miRNA from 1 species